AUUGAACGCUGGCGGCAGGCCUAACACAUGCAAGUCGAACGGUAACAGGAAGAAGCUUGCUUCUUUGCUGACGAGUGGCGGACGGGUGAGUAAUGUCUGGGAAACUGCCUGAUGGAGGGGGAUAACUACUGGAAACGGUAGCUAAUACCGCAUAACGUCGCAAGACCAAAGAGGGGGACCUUCGGGCCUCUUGCCAUCGGAUGUGCCCAGAUGGGAUUAGCUAGUAGGUGGGGUAACGGCUCACCUAGGCGACGAUCCCUAGCUGGUCUGAGAGGAUGACCAGCCACACUGGAACUGAGACACGGUCCAGACUCCUACGGGAAGCAGCAGUGGGGAAUAUUGCACAAUGGGCGCAAGCCUGAUGCAGCCAUGCCGCGUGUAUGAAGAAGGCCUUCGGGUUGUAAAGUACUUUCAGCGGGGAGGAAGGGAGUAAAGUUAAUACCUUUGCUCAUUGACGUUACCCGCAGAAGAAGCACCGGCUAACUCCGUG
rnacentral:rRNA from 1 species